CCUAUCUGCUGAUUGCUUGUAGGAGUACUUAAGCGGGAGGCUGCCAGCACUUCGAUGCCAGAUUGUUUGCCUUAGUGGUAACAAGCUCAGCCACUACUAAUUUUGUGCUUCGUUUUUGAACUCAAAGUGUUUCUGAGCAUCUGGAUCAUUGAAUACUGAGUUAAGGAACUACCUUCUUGUGGAUUUCUUUCACUUCCGUCUGAACCUUUCGGACACGGACCAAGCUGGCGGCUUCCCGUUUCCUUCAACUCCAAGACCCAGGCAUCAGCACACCCUGCUUCUUCCUCCUUCUCGAACAUCGGCACCUGAGCUCCCUUUUGCUGGCACCAAGCUCACAACAGAAAAGACAACUGGACAAUCCUCCUUCGCAAGUUAAGACUCCGAAUCUCUCUACCCCUGGCGGUUCUUGCUACAACAAUUUAUUGGUGUACCCAGUUUCUGUCCUAGACUACGAUGUUGACAAUAAAAACUGUAAAACUCUU